rnacentral:tRNA from 1 species
CGGGGCGUGGCGCAGUCUGGUAGCGCAUCUGGUUUGGGACCAGAGGGUCGGAGGUUCGAAUCCUCUCGCCCCGACCA